ensembl:snRNA U6 U6 spliceosomal RNA
AGAGAAAAUGCUUGCUUAGGAAAAAAGUUGGACCAAUACAGAGAAGAUUAGUGUGGCUCCUGCACCAGGAUGUCACACAAAUUUAUGAAGCAUUCCAUAUUUUA